CAUUGUAUUUAUUUAUUAAAUAUUUCAUCCACUUCAGUAUCUUUGGGAUCAGUAGCUAGUGAAUUAUGAACUUUUUCAGCUAUGUGUUACCUUGUAUUUUCAUAUAUCUUAUAUUCCUGUGUUGUUGUAUGCAUCUGUUCAAGUGGAUUUCUUUACCACUCUUAUGUGUAGGCCUUUUUAAGGCACAGUCUUUGCUUGCCAAAGUGUCCUGGACUUCUCAAGAUUGAGACCCAUUCAUAGUUGGGUAAUAAACAAACUUUAUGUUAAUUCACUGCUUUUGCUAUAGAAAUGAAUUUCCAAGAGUGAGACCUAAAGGCCCUCCAUUAGCCAUUCCUACUUAGGGCUAUUACUGGUUUUUCUCUUCUAUUUAUUGUAAUAAACUAGAGAUGAACUCUGGUAAUUUAUGUGUACAGGAAGGUGCCCUUUUCAUCAUGAGGUUUAGUUCAGCAGCAGAAUUUCUAUCCCAUAAAUUUCUACUUCCCUGUAGAUUACCAUCAUCUCACAGGAAAGAGGGAAACAAACAUAUCAACAAUCAAAGCAAAAGCAGACAGUAGUAAAAUUGGUGCCUGCUGUCUCUCUGUAGAGUAAAUGAUGCUGAAGACAGAUGCUGAAAAAAUGGUCAGUCUUGAAAAUUCAAACAUUGUUAAAGAAAAGAAAAGAAGUAGCCAUGACCAGAAUAUACAAAAACUCUGGAACAACACUAAGAAACCAAAUUUAAGAAUCAUUAGAAUUGAAGAGCAGUGGGAACUGUGGGCUAAUGGAAUUGAUAGCCUUUUCAGGUAAAUAAUAACAGAAAUUUUUCCAAAUGCAGAGAGCAAGAUGGCCAUCAAGACACAGGAUACAUUCAGAAACCAAAAUAUACAAGAUUGAAAAAAGAAACUCUCCACAAAACAUUAUAAUGAAAAUACCUAUCAUAUAGACCAAGGAUAGAAUGUUAAAACACUCAAGAAAAAAAAAUUCAUGUCACAUUUAGAAAAGGCAAUCAGAGUUACUUUUAAUUUCUGAGGUCACACUCUAAAAUACAGAAGGACUUGGAGUGAUGUAUUCCAAGGGCCUGAAAGAAAAUAACUGCCAACCAAUAUUGCUACAUUUAGCAAAACGAUCCAGCAGAAUUUUAGCAGAACAAAAACCUUCUGAGAUAAGCAGAAACUAAAAAAAUUAAUGACUACUAAGCUGUUACUAGUGAAAAUACAGAAAGAAAUACUAUACAGAAAAAAAUCAAAAACAAAUCCAAGUCUCACAAAAGAAUAAAUUUCAUUUGAAGAACAGCUAAGCAAAUGAGGAAAAGGACCAAAUUAAACAUUAUAAAUAAAGCAAAAUGCCAGCAAUGAAUAAUCAACUCUAUACAAUAACAUUGAAUGUAAAUGGUCUCAGCUCCCCUAAGUAAAACACAUAGGCUGCCAGAAUGGAUUUUUUUAAAAAGAUCAAAUUAUAUAUGAUUUGCAAGAGACUCAAAUUAUAGGCAAAUACAUCCACAGGCUGAAUGUGAAAAGACGGAAAUACCAUGCAAAUAGAGCCUGAAAACAUGCAGAAAUUGCUAUUCUCAUAUACAGCAUCAGAGAAUCAAGUGUCGUGUGUUUUCAGUCAUAUGUGAAAGCUACAUAGGAAAAAGGAAAAAAUGUUGUGGUGGGAUCUCAUGGAAAUGGAAGGGAUAUCAGUAUAGUAGAGGAAAGUGAUCAUGGGGAGGGAAGAGGGAAGGAAAAGGGGAAAUACUGGGGAAUGUUAUUGGCCAAAUCAUAAUGUUAUACUGUGUGCAUGUACAUAUAUGAAAAAAUG
rnacentral:lncRNA from 1 species